GGCAGAAUUGUAUGACAUUUAUCUUUUAUCCAUCUCCAGUGUGUAGCACAGUGGUUGCGGCUUCUUCUUAAAAGUUGAACUAAUGAAUUAAUGAAUGAGCCAUUUGAAAUUUGUUCUCUCCUCAUGAACCAUAACAGGGUUGUUUCCCAGACAAAUUACCCAAGCUGUUGGAGCACUUGGGAUCAUAGCUUCUUCUUGGUUCUCUCCCUCCCAAGAGAAGAAGGUGAUCGGCACUAAGAUAUUUACUGUACAUCUCCAAGGAGCAGCAAAGCACAGGGGUCAGGAGGUCAGACUCUGGAACCAGACUCACACUAGAACCCUCAGGGACUAUGACUGCCGACCCACUAAAUUCUGUUCCUGGUUACAAUUCCACGGGGAACUCUCACCCUUUCUGGGACUCUUCAGAUCAACACACCAUAUGAUGAAACUGUUUCUUGUGUUUCAAAUGAACAAGAAGAAGAGAAAGGAUUCCAUAUGUUGAGGAAUAUCACAUAAGUGGGAAACCACAGUCCAGGUCCCACCACCCCUUUCUCUUAAUAACAAAAUACA
rnacentral:lncRNA from 1 species